AGAUGGCGACCGGCGCACGGGUGAGUAACACGUAUCCAACCUGCCGAUAACUCGGGGAUAGCCUUUCGAAAGAAAGAUUAAUACCCGAUGGUAUAAUCAGACCGCAUGGUUUGAUUAUUAAAGAAUUUCGGUUAUCGAUGGGGAUGCGUUCCAUUAGGCAGUUGGUGAGGUAACGGCUCACCAAACCUUCGAUGGGUAGGGGUUCUGAGAGGAAGGUCCCCCACAUUGGAACUGAGACACGGUCCAA
rnacentral:rRNA from 1 species